CCAACUCUUUUUGAAUGUAAUCUGCUAUGGAUUGAAUCUUGCAAACUGAGAGGUCAAAAAUCGAGGCCAUCAAUGUAUACAAAUCUGUUAAAAACAAUAAUAAAAAAAAAUCAAAAGAAAAAAAAGAAAAAAGUCUAAAGUAAAGUAAGGAUAGUUGGUAACGAUAUUAAUAAAUUCAAGAUUAACUAAUUCCCCGGCAACGGCGCCAAAAACUUGAUACGCGUAAAACCUAUGUAUGAAAAACUGCAAGUGUACAGUAUCGCGUUUUGUAGAAUAGUGAAUCCCAGAUAUCGAUCCACAGGGAAUUAAGUUCCUAAAUUUACCAAGUACCGUAAUUAUACUAUACUAAACUUUAUCUAGACGGAUGAAAGAAUGGGGGAUGAAAUGAACCUAAAAGGAAACAAAAAUAAAAACAACGGUCCGCCAGUAUAAGCGAGGAAUUCCGACGUGUGAUGGCUUCUAGGGUAAAAUCCACCAGUGUACUAUCGAUAAAGAUUUACAAAUCCGAAUAUAAUGUCAAUUCUAUAUUUGCUAACCCAGACACUAAAGUACCCUAACCCCCGUCUCCAGUGUAGUUAGAGUCUACCCACAGGUCCGAUGUCUCCGUUCAGAACCUGAUAUUAAGAGAGCAUUUAGGUCAAGUCCUUAAGGGCUACCCGAGGUGCAUCACGUCUCCGUUUCCACAACCCGAGCUAUGUUUUCCUAAAAUCAAACGAGAAAUCCUCUCUCGAGUUCAUUCCCAUUUACAAUCAAUUCAACUGUUGGCCAAACAAUCGAAAGCAUUUAAUACAGGAAAACAUAAACAUAAUCAAAGAAGGACAAAUAGAUCACAUAUCUGGAAAUCAAAAUCAAUAUAUACAAGGAUUCAUUUCCCUAAAAGAAAAUGCUCAGUUCAUUACAAACAUAGCAUCAAAAUGAAGAACACGAGAAAUCAUAAACUAAACUUAAAGAAAAGCUUAUGAAAAACCCGAGUCGAAACCCUCGUCAAAGCUUCCCGCGAAGAACUGGCGAAAACCGAAGAGAAAACCGAAGAAGAAGUCGAGAGAUAAUCGAGAAUUAUGUCUUGAUAUGUUGAGAUCUUCAAAAAUGAAAAAGAGACCUUUCUAUUUAUAGUAGGAAAUCAAAGAAAAAUAUCUUGUCUCGAAUUAUGUGCCCAGAUCGCGAUCUGGGCUUCUUGGAUCGCGAUCUGGCAGCCUUGGAAACUGCGCACCGCCUUUCCAGAUCGCGAUACGGGAAUGGUGGAUCGCAAUCUGGUUCUUGAUCAAAAAAUGUACUGUGAGACCCCCCAGAUCGCGAUCAAAGGAGGUUGGAUCGCGAUCUGGGUCCUGAUCAAGAAAGCGUUCUGUAAGACCCCCCAGAUUGCGAUCCAGAAAGGCUGGAUCGCGAUCUGGUCUUCUGCGCCAACUUAAAACACUGUUUCGACCCUUUUGUAGCCCGAAUUUGACAAUUUUUCAUUUCACAAACGUUGUAGAUCUUGAAGUUAGCUUGCUAAGGCCACUUGAAUCAUUUCAAUCGGAGUUCGUAUGCAAAAGUUAUGCUUGAAAUACGAAACAGUACCACAACCCGCGAUAAUGCACUUUUGCACGUGUUUGGUUUGAUUUUCGGCUUCGCUUCCAAAAUCGUUUCGAAUCGGCAAAAAUAGCUUCACUUUACCUAAAAUAUAAAUAAAACAAGAAACGCAUAAUAUGUACAAAUAAAGCCGAAAACUCGGACGAAUGAAGACCAAAACUCGAAGAUUCGAUAAGUAAAAGUUGUGCAAAAUGAACACUUAUCACGGGCUUAAGUUGGACCAGGCCCAACAGCUUAAGUUCGUUAGUCUUUCUUCGCUCAUUUCUCAUAACACAAUGAUUGGAAAACUAUAACAAUUAUAUUUUCGGAAUCAUUGAAACGUCCUCGUCAUUACGAAUGCCAAUUCUCGAUUUCCAAUUUCUAAAACUUGAAACCCUAAUUCAGUGGACCUGCUAAAUGUGGAAACGUCCCAAUUUAGAAAGUUCACUAAGAUGUUUGCCUAGUUCUUUCCUUUUCUUAUUCUCAUUCAUAAUUCCCAAUUACAAAUGUUGGACUCAAUCAUAUUAACUUCCAAUUAUGCAAAGAGCAAACAUUUUUAUCUUUGACCGUUUAUUCAAAGAACUCGAGUGCACGAGCAGUAUGACCCUCGAUGGUUCAGGUGUAAGCUAGCCGUGGGUCCCCAACUCUUUGUGGUUUAAACUCGUCCCUAGAGUUAUAAUUAUGAUAAAACUUGUUUCAACUGAAUCACCUAAAGAAUCAAGAUUGGCGUCUAGCAACUACGCAUCAUGAUUCCCUAGAUACAAAUGAAGUGCCUGCAAGAACCGUGUGAUAUAGUUAACGUACAGAACGAUACCUUCGAUACAUGUGUCCCGAUUGAACUAGAGUCAUUGGUUCAUCGAGACCUCCUUUGUAGUUCAAUAAUUGUGCGAUCGUUCUAAGUAUUGUAAUCGGUACGUGCAUGACUUAGAGAACCGAAUUCCCUAAUCAUCACUUAGUCACCUCUGGCCAGAGACUUAAAGAUUACAAACUAUGAGAACACACAGGAAAUCCAAGACUAUACUAGCGAUCGAAUCCCCGACUACAAUGCACAGAUCUCCCACUAGAUUUCGGACUGCACGAACACUGGCUCUUGGGGCGGUCCUCGGUGGAACUGAGGGACAGGUCACGAUACAACUGGUCCUCUAGUGAAGUCGCGGUGAUGUCUAGGUCUUAAGGACUAAUGGUGUACAACUAUAUCGUAGAUAUCUCUACUCGAUUAUUGAGAACCACUUAGAGAUUUUUAGGAUGAGGGAGUUCAAUGAACUCGUUAACUUACGAGCACCCACUUAUGUAUAGCCGAUAUCACAAUAACGUCAAUGAUGAGAUGUUGUAAACAUACACUAAGUGCUAGUCUCUUAAUGGGAAAGGCCAAUAUCCUCAUUGGUGGCGUAACCCUUCGACUAGGAACACGGUUUACCAGUUAUAACACUUAAGUAAAUAUCUCACGAUCCUAAUAGAUCAAUUAUAAGUAAUUGUAAUAAGUGUAAGGACUAUAUCUAUGUGUGUACAAGGGACAGAGAUAUAUAAUUCCAAUGUGUUUUAUCAUUACUACGUAAAAUGAUUAUUUAUUAAAAGAAUAAAUGAAAAUACCACCGCCACAAGUUGGCUUGUUGGUCACCUACUCUAACACCUGGAUGAUGUGGAUCCUUUUGUGAUAUCUUAAUGUUGUUGGCUUGCACUUCCUCCACUGUCCAUCUUCAAGAUUCUCUUCUGAUUUUAAUUUGUGUAUUUUUUGUACUUUUUUUUUGUGCAACUUUUAUCAGCUGAUUUGAAUGCUCUUGUGAUAUCUCCAUGUUAUUGGUUCCUCCACUCUCCAUCUUUAAGAUUUUCUUCUAAUUUUAAUUUUAUAUUUUUGUGUUUGCAACUUUUACUAGAUGAUGUGGAUCUAGGGAUUAGAAUUGAGCUGACCAUAUAUGCGGUCGUAUAGUUGCAUGAGAUGGAUUUAUCUCUCAGGCAGGAUUGAUUUAUGUGCAACAUCUGCGGGCGGGUCUCCGCCAGUUCUCGAUGGGACACGUCGCCGAUGCGUGAGGUGCGGGAGGAUUCCUUAUAUUUGACUGAGGAUUCUUGUCCUUAUAUCUUUUGUUGGUUGUGCCAAAGAAAUCUUACAAUAAAAUAUUCCAAGCUCUUUUUUAUUGUUUAUUUGCCAGAAGUGUUCACCUCCCAUUGAAUCAACCAUGGGUACAAAACUGAGAAAUAAAUAAUAACUGGAAAUUAAAAUCAUGAUUAGUUAUUCAAGAUAAGACAUUUACCGAUAUACACGUAUCUCACCCAAAAAAAAUAUAUUUAUAUGUACAUGUAAUUAUAGAGAAAUAGAUAUACCAAAGGGAUAAUAAACCUUUUUUUAGCAUUGCUAUUAAUAUUAUUUUAACACGGUAAACCAUUCGAAAAGGCCAAACCAACAUUUCAGAAAGCUAUAUGAGCAUGAAUAUUCAACAAUUUUCCAAAAGAAACCAUAUCGGCUGCACAAGACAAGCAAUUUGAAGCAGUUUCAAACAUGAGGUGAUUCUUAUAACCGAAAGAGCUAGACUUACGAACGCGUCUAAUUUUUUUAAUUCCUAAAAUUCCUAAUAUUGGAACACCAUUUCCGGUUAUGGUCUCCAAUAUUCUAAUUUCUAUUUGUUUUUUAUUCUAAAAAUGUUUGGAUUAGAAACAGUAAUUAUAAAUAAAAACUUCAUAACUUCCAAUUUUUUUAAUAUUUCAAAAUUAACUCAGGAAUUUUUUUUCCCAAAAAUAAAUGUAUAUAAUUAAUAAUAUUAUAUAUUACGUAUUUUACUUUUAUUCUAAAUUUGCAAUUCUUAAUAAUCGAUUAAUUGCCCAAUAACUUUUAAUGUCAAUUUAUAAGUUGUUUAUAAUAGUUAGGCUAAUUUUUUUCCAAAAAAAAAUCUAAUAUUUCCAAAACCAAAUUUAAAAAUUUAUAAGGGUGAUAAGAUUUCUAAAAUUCUGAAAUUUAUGAAGCUUCUAAAAUGGGGAAAAAAAUUCGAUUCCAAUAUUUUUAAAUCGGAAUUGGAAGUUAUUUUUCAUUUCCCAAAAAACAAUUAUAUAUAAUUAUAUAUCCGUAACAAAAUGAAUAAAAUUUUCACUUUCAAAGAAAAUGUUAAAAUUCAUAGGAAAAGGAAUAAAAUCUAUUCAGAUCUAUAAGAAAAAUUGAAGUAAUGAUAAAAGGAAUGCUCUUAUAGAGAUAUAAGAUCUUUUGGUUUUACAUUUUUAAUCUUACACCACAUCAUAAAUCCUUCCAAGAUAAACAAACGAUACAAAUAAAGAUAAACAAACGAUAAAAUUUAGAGUUUAUGUCUAAUAGUUGUGAUCAGAAGGACAGCUAAUCAUACUUGAAUUAUAUUGAUAUUGAUAAUUGACGCCAAAAACAAAUUAAGGUAAUGCGUUCAAUUGAAAAUGAAUGUGAGGUCACAAAUAAGUCGAAUUUAUCAAAAAUAGAUUGUAAGGAAUAAAUAAUUACCAGAUCUUUCCUGAACAUGCCUCCAAUGGGAAGAUUCCGGUCAACUGCUCCUCAAAAAGAGUCAAGACAAAGUGAUUGCUUAGGUUAUAAGCUCACUCUCUUAACGUAGUCUAAUUCAUUGAAUAAAUAGCGAAGCGCAAGUUGC
rnacentral:lncRNA from 1 species